UUCCACAAGAACCAAAACCAACUCUUUCAUCUCUCUUAUCAUCAACAGUGUCAUUUCCCUGUUGGCAUAAACGUUUCCCUGAGUUAUAUUUACAUAUUUUUUUCUUUUUAUCCUCCUCUUUAGCCUUACAUAUCCCCACAACAUGGUCGCACUUGGUAAAAGUCUCACAUGAGAAGAAUCACGCGCUGAUGGAGUCCCUUAUGGCAGCUCCAUAGAGUGGAGCGUGUAGUUAACUCUAUAGGAAAUGACUGUUGUAGAAUACAUACAGAGAAGAAAAGCCUUUUGUUGAUGUUUCUGGACAACACUCAAUGAAUUGAAGAUCGAAAGUUUUAACUUUCUGCCAAGCUUUUGUUGAUGCUUAGAUGUGUGUUUUGAUAAUCAAAUAUUAUAACUAAAAAUAUGAGAUGUUAGCCACUUUAAUGUAAAAUCGUACACUCUUGAUCUCUA